rnacentral:rRNA from 1 species
AACGAACGCUGGCGGCAGGCCUCAAACAUGCAAGUCUAGGGGGUGUAGCAAUACAUCACCGGCGGACGGGUGCGUAACGCGUGGGAAUAUACCUAUCGAUUCGGAACAACUGAGGGAAACUUCAGCUAAUACCGAAUACGUCCUAACGGAGAAAGAUUUAUCGUCGAUAGAUUAGCCCGCGUUCGAUUAGCUAGUUGGUGGGGUAACGGCCCACCAAGGCGACGAUCGAUAGCUGUUCUGAGAGGAAGAUCAGCCACACUGGGACUGAGACACGGCCCAGACUCCUACGGGAGGCAGCAGUUGGGAAUCUUGGACAAUGGGGGAAACCCUGAUCCAGCCAUGCCGCGUGAGUGAUGAAGGCCUUCGGGUUGUAAAACUCUUUCGCGCACGACGAUAAUGACGGUAGUGCGAGAAGAAGCUCCGGCUAACUUCGUGCCAGCAGCCGCG